CCUAAGGUAGCGAAAUUCCUUGUCAGGUAAGUUCUGACCCGCACGAAAGGCGUAAUGAUUUGGGAGCUGUCUCGACAAUGUCCCCGGCGAAAUUGUAGUACUAGUGAAGAUGCUAGUUACCUGCGACAAGACAGAAAGACCCCAUGGAGCUUUACUGUAGCUUGAUACUGGGUUUCGGUAGUUUAUGUACAGGAUAGGUGGGAGGCUGUGAAUACAGGGCGUCAGCUUUGUAGGAGCCAUUGUUGGGAUACCACCCUUAAAUUACUGGAAUUCUAACCUGUAGUCGUAAUCCGGCUAGGGGACAAUGUCAGGUGGGCAGUUUGACUGGGGCGGUCGCCUCCUAAAGAGUAACGGAGGCGCCCAAAGGUUUCCUCAGCCUGGUCAGAAAUCAGGCGUAAGAGUGCAAAGGCAGAAGGAAGCUUAACUGAAAGACAGACAUGUCGAGCAGAUACGAAAGUAGGGCUUAGUGAUCCGGUGGUUGUAAAUGGAAAUGCCAUCGCUCAACGGACAAAAGUUACCCUGGGGAUAACAGGCUUAUCUCCCCCAAGAGUUCACAUCGACGGGGAGGUUUGGCACCUCGAUGUCGGCUCAUCGCAUCCUGGGGCUGUAGUCGGUCCCAAGGGUUGGGCUGUUCGCCCAUUAAAGCGGUACGCGAGCUGGGUUCAGAACGUCGUGAGACAGUUCGGUCCUUAUCUGUCGCAGGCGCAGGAUAUUUGAAGGGAGCUGUCCUUAGUACGAGAGGACCAGGAUGGACAUACCGAUGGUGUAUCAGUUGUCACACCAGUGGCACGGCUGAGUAGCUAAGUAUGGACGGGAUAAACGCUGAAAGCAUCUAAGUGUGAAGCCCACCCUAAGAUAAGAUAUCCCAUAUCGUAAGAUAGUAAGAUUCCAGGAAGACGACCUGGUUGAUAGGAUGGAGGUAGAAGUGUAGUGAUACAUGUAGCUGACCAUUACUAAUAGAUCGAGGGCUUAACCAC
rnacentral:rRNA from 1 species